rnacentral:rRNA from 1 species
GAUGAACGCUGGCGGCGUGCCUAAUACAUGCAAGUCGAGCGAACGGACGAGAAGCUUGCUUCUCUGAUGUUAGCGGCGGACGGGUGAGUAACACGUGCAUAACCUACCUAUAAGACUGGGAUAACUUCGGGAAACCGGAGCUAAUACCGGAUAAUAUUUUGAACCGCAUGGUUCAAAAGUGAAAGACGGUCUUGCUGUCACUUAUAGAUGGAUCCGCGCUGCAUUAGCUAGUUGGUAAGGUAACGGCUUACCAAGGCAACGAUGCAUAGCCGACCUGAGAGGGUGAUCGGCCACACUGGAACUGAGACACGGUCCAGACUCCUACGGGAGGCAGCAGUAGGGAAUCUUCCGCAAUGGGCGAAAGCCUGACGGAGCAACGCCGCGUGAGUGAUGAAGGUCUUCGGAUCGUAAAACUCUGUUUUUAGGGAAGAACAUAUGUGUAAGUAACUGUGCACAUCUUGACGGUACCUAAUCAGAAAGCCACGGCUAACUACGUG